rnacentral:rRNA from 1 species
GAUGAACGCUAGCGGCAGGCCUAACACAUGCAAGUCGAGGGGCAGCACAGAAACAGCAAUGUUUUGGUGGCGACCGGCGGACGGGUGCGCAACGCGUAUGCAACCUACCUUUAACAGGGGGAUAACGGAGAGAAAUUUCCACUAAUACCCCAUAACAUCGAUCAAGGCAUCUUGAUUGGUUGAAAACUCCGGUGGUUAAAGAUGGGCAUGCGUUGUAUUAGGUAGUUGGUGAGGUAAUGGCUCACCAAGCCUACGAUACAUAGGGGGACUGAUAGGUUAGCCCCCCACACUGGUACUGAGACACGGACCAGUCUCCUACGGGAGGCAGCAGUGAGGAAUAUUGGUCAAUGGGGGCAACCCUGAACCAGCCAUGCCGCGUGCAGGAAGACGGCUCUAUGAGUUGUAAACUGCUUUUAAACAGGGAUAAAGCACAGUAUGUAUACUGUGUUGAAGGUACUGUAAGAAUAAGGAUCGGCUAACUCCGUGCCAGCAGCCGCCGUAA